CCUACGGGCGGCAGCAGUGAGGAAUAUUGGUCAAUGGACGCGAGCCUGAACCAGCCAAGUAGCGUGAAGGAUGACUGCCCUACGGGUUGUAAACUUCUUUUAUAAAGGAAUAAAGUGAGGCACGGGUGCCUUUUUGUAUGUACUUUAUGAAUAAGGAUCGGCUAACUCCGUGCCAGCAGCCGCGGUAAUACGGAGGAUUCGAGCGUUAUCCGGAUUUAUUGGGUUUAAAGGGAGCGUAGAUGGGUUGUUAAGUCAGUUGUGAAAUUUUGAGGCUCAACCGUGGAAUUGCAAUUGAUACUGGCAGCCUUGAGAACAGUUGCGGUAGGCGGAAUGCGUGGUGUAGCGGUGAAAUGCUUAGAUAUCACAAAGAACUCCGAUUGCGAAGGCAGCUUACUAAGCUGCCACUGACAUUGAUGCUCGAAAGUGUGGGUAUCAAACAGGAUUAGAUACCCUUGUAGUC
rnacentral:rRNA from 1 species